rnacentral:rRNA from 1 species
GAUGAACGCUGGCGGCGUGCCUAAUACAUGCAAGUCGAGCGAACAGAUGAGGAGCUUGCUCCUCUGACGUUAGCGGCGGACGGGUGAGUAACACGUGGAUAACCUACCUAUAAGACUGGGAUAACUUCGGGAAACCGGAGCUAAUACCGGAUAAUAUAUUGAACCGCAUGGUUCAAUAGUGAAAGACGGUUUUGCUGUCACUUAUAGAUGGAUCCGCGCUGCAUUAGCUAGUUGGUAAGGUAACGGCUUACCAAGGCAACGAUGCGUAGCCGACCUGAGAGGGUGAUCGGCCACACUGGAACUGAGACACGGUCCAGACUCCUACGGGAGGCAGCAGUAGGGAAUCUUCCGCAAUGGGCGAAAGCCUGACGGAGCAACGCCGCGUGAGUGAUGAAGGUCUUCGGAUCGUAAAACUCUGUUAUUAGGGAAGAACAAAUGUGUAAGUAACUAUGCACGUAUUGACGGUACCUAAUCAGAAAGCCACGGCUAACUACGUG